AACGUAGGAGGCGAGCGUUAUCCGGAUUUACUGGGUGUAAAGCGCGUGCAGGCGGUUUGGUAAGUUGGGUGUGAAAGCUCCUGGCUCAACUGGGAGAGGUCGCUCAAGACUGCCAGACUUGAGAGUGGUAGGGGAAGGUGGAAUUCCGGGUGUAGUGGUGAAAUGCGUAGAUAUCCGGAGGAACACCAGUGGCGAAGGCGGCCUUCUGGGCCACAUCUGACGCUCAGACGCGAAAGCUAGGGUAGCAAACGGG
rnacentral:rRNA from 2 species